UGCAAGGCCAGGUCCCUGUGACUGUCCUCCACGUGAUAUGGAAUGGCUUACGGUCUGCUGUAGUAGCAACUGCAGAGGCCCAAAUAUGGACGGUGAAGCACACAGUUGAGGAUUAACUGUCUUGCCCGGAGGGAAGGUCAGAUUGAAGAGUCUACAGAGGAAAUGGGCCAUUUUGUUCUAAGUCCUACGAAGUUGCACACCUUGAUGAAUGUGAGCCACCAAAAGAUACAGAGAUACCAAAACAAAACAACUGUCGGAUGGACCAGAAAAGGGAUUACUGAAUACAGAUGUGGACCAGAGACGUAAGGAACCUGCUUUGGGAGUUACAACCUUGCGAAAGGACACUGGAAGCCUUGCAGAGGACCACCUCCUGAUUCCUCCU
rnacentral:lncRNA from 1 species